rnacentral:rRNA from 1 species
GAUGAACGCUGGCGGCGUGCCUAAUACAUGCAAGUCGAGCGAAUGGAUUAAGAGCUUGCUCUUAUGAAGUUAGCGGCGGACGGGUGAGUAACACGUGGGUAACCUGCCCAUAAGACUGGGAUAACUCCGGGAAACCGGGGCUAAUACCGGAUAACAUUUUGAACCGCAUGGUUCGAAAUUGAAAGGCGGCUUCGGCUGUCACUUAUGGAUGGACCCGCGUCGCAUUAGCUAGUUGGUGAGGUAACGGCUCACCAAGGCAACGAUGCGUAGCCGACCUGCGAGGGUGAUCGGCCACACCGAGACUGAGACACGGCCCAGACUCAUACGGGAGGCAGCAGUAGGGAAUCUUCCGCAAUGGACGAAAGUCUGACGGAGCAACGCCGCGUGAGUGAUGAAGGCUUUCGGGUCGUAAAACUCUGUUGUUAGGGAAGAACAAGUGCUAGUUGAAUAAGCUGGCACCUUGACGGUACCUAACCAGAAAGCCACGGCUAACUACGUGCCAGCCGCCGCCGUAA